rnacentral:rRNA from 1 species
GAAUAUUGGACAAUGGGGGGAACCCUUAUCCAGCCAUGCCGCGUGUUUGAAGAAGGCCUUUUGGUUGUAAAGCACUUUAAGCGCGGCGGAGGAGCCCUUGGUUAAUACCCAAGAUGCUUGGACGUUCCUCGCAGCAUAAGCACCGGCUAACCCUGCGCCCGCAGCCGCGGUAAUACAGGGGGUGCAAGCGUUAAUCGGAUUUACUGGGCGUAAAGCGCGCGUAGGUGGACAAUUAAGGCAAAUGUGAAAGCCCCGAGCUUAACUUGGGAAUUGAAUGCGAUACUGGUUGGCUAGAGGAUGGGAGAGGAUGGUAGAAUUCCAGGUGUAGCGGUGAAAUGCGUAGAGAUCUGGAGGAAUACCGAUGGCGAAGGCAGCCAUCUGGCCUAAUACUGACACUGAGGUGCGAAAGCAUGGGGAGCAAACA